GCCCAGAUGGCGGAAUCGGUAGACGCGUUGGUCUCAAACACCAAUACCGCAAGGUGUGCCGGUUCGACCCCGGCUCUGGGUACUA
rnacentral:tRNA from 2 species